UUGGCUGCGAUUAUUCUUUUUUUGAUUUCAGGAUUGAUGUCGUUUUGAUAGUUUAUUUCUGAUCCUAGAUAAGUAAAAUUUUUUACAGAUUCAAAUUUAAAGGAAUCUAUUUUAAACAAUUUAGGGAUGGAAACAUUGACUGAAAUGACUAUAAUGUUAGAAGUAAGUCGCUUUUACGAUAUCAUUAGUUCCAAAAUUCGAUCUUUUUCAGAUAAAGGAAGAAAAUUUGAUGAAGGAAGUAUUAUUUGACGUCUGCGCUGUGGAAAUGGCUUAUGAAAGUUUCAAGCGCUCUAGAUCAUCAUUCCCUGAAGUGAUUCUACCAGGAAUAA